rnacentral:rRNA from 1 species
CCCCUAGAUGUUCUGGGCCGCACGCGCGCUACACUGAACAGUUCAACAAGUCUUAACCUUGACCGAUAGGUCUGGGUAAUCUUUGAACGCUGUUCGUGAUUGGGAUAGACCUUUGCAAUUAUGGGUCUUCAACGAGGAAUUCCUAGUAAACGCAAGUCAUCAGCUUGCAUUGAUUACGUCCCUGCCCUUUGUACACACCGCCCGUCGCACCUACCGAUUGAAUGGUCCGGUGAAAUCUCGGGACGGCGGCUUGGUCGCUUGCGUCCGACUGCUGAAACUUGAUUAAACCAUNUNAUUUAUNGGAAGGUGAANUCGUANCA